AAUCAACGCUGGCGGCGUGCCUCAGACAUGCAAGUCGAACGAUUAAGACUCCCUUCGGGGAGUGUAUAAAGUGGCGCACGGGUGAGUAACACGUAAGUAAUCUACCUUUGAGUGGGGAAUAACGUCCGGAAACGGACGCUAAUACCGCAUAACGCAGCGGCACCGCAAGGUGACAGUUGUUAAAGGAGCAAUCCGCUUGAAGAGGAGCUUGCGGCAGAUUAGCUAGUUGGUAAGGUAAUGGCUUACCAAGGCUACGAUCUGUAUCCGGCCUGAGAGGGCGGUCGGACACACUGACACUGAAUAACGGGUCAGACUCCUACGGGAGGCAGCAGUCGGGAAUUUUGGGCAAUGGGCGAAAGCCUGACCCAGCAACGCCGCGUGAAGGAUGAAGUAUUUCGGUGUGUAAACUUCGAAAGAAUGGGAAGAAUAAAUGACGGUACCAUUUAUAAGCUCCGGCUAACUCUGUGCCAGCCGCCGCGGUAAGAC
rnacentral:rRNA from 1 species